rnacentral:hammerhead_ribozyme from 1 species
UCCCAUCUGAAGAGUCUCAAAUAAGACGAAAUGCGUAUCCUGAAU